GGGAAUGUGGCUCAGUGGUAGAGCCUUGCCUAGUGUGCGCAAGACCCUGGGUUCAAUCCCCAGCACUACAA
rnacentral:tRNA from 1 species